UACAGUUAUAAUAUUAAAAAAUAAUAGUAAAUUUUGUGGGUAUGAGUAUAACAAAAAAAAAAUUUGAAAAUUUUAUUUCACUUUUAUAUAGGCAAUCUGCUUACUUACUAUGCCCAUAUGUUUUCAAAUACACGAAAUUGUGAGAGAAAUUAAAAAAUUUUACAAAUAUAAUUUUUUUAAUAAUUAAUAAGACUAUAAAAUUAAUAAAAAAAUAUUAUUAUCAAUUUAUAUUUAGUAGAUAUUUCAUAAAUAUUAAUAAAAAAAAUAAGAGAAAUAAAGAAUAGAAAAGAGCAGACAAAUAGAACGAAACGAAAAAACAAGACGGAAAUAUAAAAAAAAGAAAUUUUUUUUUGUGAGAAGAAAAGGGCGAUAAAUUUUCAACAAUAUUUAGGUAAAAAAAACAAAAAUUUUCCCAGUGAUUCUUAAUUGGAAAACAAAAAUAUUCAUAAUUACAUACUUGUAUACCCUAUAUAAAAAAAAUUAUUAAUUUAUUAAAUAUUAAGAGAAAAAAUACUUAAAAUUAAAAUUAUUUGAAAUUAAAAUAUUAAAAAAAUUGAAAUAAUAAAAAUAAUUUAAAUAAAAUACAAUAUAAAGCAAUUAAAUAAAAAAAUAUAGUGAGAGAAAGAAAAAGAGAGAGAAAAUAGAGUUUUAAAGCAAAGAAUAAGAGGACAUUUAAAGAGAAAGAGAAUUUAAAAAAAAAUAAAGUGAAAUAAAAGAUUAAGAAAGAACAAAGUGAAAGAGAGAAAAUAAAAUAUAAUGUGCAUGUGUUUAAAUAAAUAAAUAUACACACUUAUUUACAUACAUAUAAAAAUAUAAGCAUAUAUUUACCGUAAAAAGGAUUCUUUUUUUUUCACUUGCUUGAAAAAAAAAACGGAAUAUAAGGUGUAAAAGGAUAUGCAAAUAACAAAAAUAAAGGAGGAAAACAAAUUUUUAAUUUAAAGUCACCGUUCUCAAAUGAUUGGAUGACAUUUUGAAGAGAAAAAAAAACAACAACAACAACAACAAAAAACAUAAACAGAAUAAAAAAAUUAAUUUUUUAUUUUGUCUCUCUUAAUUAUAAUUUUUUUUUUCUCUAAAAAAUAAAAUGUCAUCUCCAUUUUAACUGAGAUCAGCAAUAAUAACAAAAAAAAAAAAUUGUCUUAUAAAAAAAAAAUAAAAAAAAUAACCUCAUCGUCCUAGUAAAGGAAAUGAAAAUAUUAAAAUAAACAAGGAUAUUUUUUUUUUUCAUUAAAAUUUUAUAAUUUUCUACGUAUUUGUGUGAAAAAUUGUUAUUUUUUGUUCUAUUUUUAUUUUUUAUUUUUGUUUAUAUAUUUUUAACCAACAAAAAA